UACGUAGGUGACAAGCGUUGUCCGGAUUUACUGGGCGUAAAGAGCGCGCAGGCGGUCGUUCAAGUCGAGUGUGAAAGCCCCCGGCUCAACUGGGGAGGGGCAUUCGAUACUGGUCGACUCGAAGGCAGGAGAGGGUAGUGGAAUUCCCGGUGUAGUGGUGAAAUGCGUAGAUAUCGGGAGGAACACCAGUGGCGAAGGCGACUACCUGGCCUGUUCUUGACGCUGAGGCGCGAAAGCUAGGGGAGCAAACGGG
rnacentral:rRNA from 1 species